rnacentral:rRNA from 1 species
GAUGAACGCUGGCGGCGUGCCUAAUACAUGCAAGUCGAGCGAACAGACGAGGAGCUUGCUCCUCUGACGUUAGCGGCGGACGGGUGAGUAACACGUGGAUAACCUACCUAUAAGACUGGGAUAACUUCGGGAAACCGGAGCUAAUACCGGAUAAUAUAUUGAACCGCAUGGGUCAAUAGUGAAAGACGGUUUUGCUGUCACUUAUAGAUGGAUCCGCGCCGCAUUAGCUAGUUGGUAAGGUAACGGCUUACCAAGGCGACGAUGCGUAGCCGACCUGAGAGGGUGGUCGGCCACACUGGAACGUAGACACGGUCCAGACUCCUACGGGAGGCAGCAGUAGGGAAUCUUCCGCAAUGGGCGAAAGCCUGACGGAGCAACGCCGCGUGAGUGAUGAAGGUCUUCGGAUCGUAAAACUCUGUUAUUAGUGAAGAACAAAUGUGUAAGUAACUAUGCACGUCUUGACGGUACCUAAUCAGAAAGCCACGGCUAACUACGUG